CAGCAGUAGCCGCGGUAAUACGAAGGGUGCAAGCGUUACUCGGAAUUACUGGGCGUAAAGCGUGCGUAGGUGGUGGUUUAAGUCCGUUGUGAAAGCCCUGGGCUCAACCUGGGAAUUGCAGUGGAUACUGUGUCACUAGAGUGUGGUAGAGGAUAGUGGAAUUUCCGGUGUAGCAGUGAAAUGCGUAGAGAUCGGAAGGAACAUCUGUGGCGAAGGCGACUAUCUGGGCCAACACUGACACUGAGGCACGAAAGCGUGGGGAGCAAACAGGAUUAGAUACCCCUGUAGUCCCUGUCUCUUAUAC
rnacentral:rRNA from 1 species